rnacentral:rRNA from 1 species
UUGAACGCUGGCGGUAUGCUUUACACAUGCAAGUCGAGCGGCAGCGCGGGGGCAACCCUGGCGGCGAGCGGCGAACGGGUGAGUAACAUAUCGGAACGUACCCUGUCGUGGGGGAUAACACAGCGAAAGCUGUGCUAAUACCGCAUACGACCUGAGGGUGAAAGCGGGGGAUCGCAAGACCUCGCGCGAUAGGAGCGGCCGAUAUCGGAUUAGCUUGUUGGUGAGGUAAAGGCUCACCAAGGCGACGAUCCGUAGCUGGUCUGAGAGGACGACCAGCCACACUGGAACUGAGACACGGCCCAGACUCCUACGGGAGGCAGCAGUGGGGAAUUUUGGACAAUGGGCGCAAGCCUGAUCCAGCCAUGCCGCGUGAGUGAAGAAGGCCUUCGGGUUGUAAAGCUCUUUCGGACAGAAAGAAAUCGCACUGGUUAAUACCUUGUGUGGAUGACGGUACUGUAAGAAGAAGCACCGGCUAACUACGU